CUAGUGGGCACGGGGCGGGGGCGGAGCGAGCGAGAAACGCGGGAACCCGGUACGCAACUGCGGUGACUCACAGUGGAUGGAUUUACGCGAGUGGCGUAGGCCGCGAUUCUGUCGCCCUCGGCUAAGAAGCAGUAGGAUGGCCGUAGGAUGGUCGGCGAGGACGCGCCGGGGACGUCUCUCCAGGACGACGGCGAGAUGUAACCAGUGAUGCUGUCGUGCGAUUAACGGACUCCAGCCCGCCAUUGAACCGGCGCCUUCCCCACCGCCGCGGUCACCGUUCGGAUUGCAACUAUGGACGGGGCCGGGGCCUCGCCGUGGCCGAGAUGAGGGCUGCCCGUCCGCCCCCCGGGCCCCCGC
rnacentral:lncRNA from 1 species